UGAAAAGUACUUAUUUCUUUGACGGUGAGUUUAUAAUACAUCCUUUUAUUUAGAUCAGACACUAUCACUAUCAAAACUUUGUAAAAAUUGUAUGUUAAGUUAUCAUGUUGUGAUUAUAUUUUUACAUCUUAUUUUCAGCUGACCUGAUGAUGGCCUAGUGCCGAAAUCGAUUGUCUUAGAAUACAAUUAUAUAAAUAAGUGUGUCUUCGAUUUUCUUUCCUAAUUCAUCUAAAUUUAAUUUCAUUUUUUAUCUGGUAGCCUAAAUAAUGGGUCAUUCUCAAGGAAUUUGUUUGUGAGUUUUGCACUCGACUUAUGUGCUCUCUCAUCACAGGAUCAAAAGACGAAAUCAUCUCAGACAGUUUUGAGAAAGUUUCCAUUAUCAUAUUCAAAAAGUAUUUCAGAAGAACCAUGGAAAGGUACUUACUUACCAUUUCAUAAAAUUUAAUUUAAUCACAACAAAAAACAGUUAAACAAAAUACAAUUACAUAAAAUACAAAUCUUUUCAAGUUUUAAUUAUCUAAGUAUUUAAAUUUAAACGUUGCGAAAUAAAAUAUCUAUUAUUUGGAUUACGCCGCCUCUCGCUGUUAAAGUGCAGCAAACAGAUUUUGGUAGUUUCAGAAAUUCUCCGCAACUUGUAGUAUUUUUCCAACAGAUGGUGUCGAAAGUGAGUUUCAGUAAUUCCCCUGACUAAAGGCCGUCGUUUCGGUAUUGAUGAUUGUUUAUGUUUACCAAUUUACCAUAUGUGUAAGUGAUAAUCGAAGAAAGGGUGCCUGCCGUCCGAUGCAGGUUGCUGGGUGCCCUUAAGCCCGCCACUCACGAAGCGUUUUUUCGAGACUUUGAACGCCAAGCGUCCAAGAGAUUCCAGUCGGGCAGUCAAGUUCAAUCUCUGAUUUACAGUUGUGCGGUCGUGUCCCGAGCUGCCCGACUGUAAAAUUAUCCGAACGCUCGAACAAGGUAGCCUCGUGAGUGGCCGCCUUUAAAGAAAUCUCGUGCCGACAAAGGCAUAAUUAUUAUCUACGAUUUAUUUACUCAUAAAAAAUCGGAUAAUAGCAAUCUGGCUAUUUCAUACCGAUUGCGACGUUCGGAAACUUGUAAAUUGCAAGAAAGAAGUUUGAAAAAAAACAUUGUUGGAAAAAUUUUAAAGAAUCUUGCGGUCUAUAUAAGAGGUUUUGGCGCCCCUUUAGAGUUGCGCCCGUGUGCGGUGCACGCGUCGCACGCGCGGUUGCGGGGGCCCUGAUUCUGUUAUAUAUAAUGCCGACAAAGCAUGAAGAAACACUUGUAAAAAAGGGAAAUUGAAAAUGUCUAUUAGGAUGAGAGUAGUUAAAUAUUGAAUUGGUAGAACAUCCUCUUCAUUCCCUAAGAGCAAUCUAUUGAUCGAACAUCAUUUGAACAGUUUCAUUAAAUUUUCAUUAUCUAAGGACACUCUAGCUCAAAUGGUACUCUGAAAUUAUUGUACAAAACGCUAUUAUCGUACAUGCGGUAUCGUACAUAGCACUGAGCAGAAAAUUAUCGUACAAAACGAUAAUUAUCGUAUGGACAGGCCUUUAGAGAGAAAUUCUGGCAUGCCGCAAAUGAAAGAGAGAGAUGGAGCUAGUUGGGUCAACGUCAAAAUCAUAUGAUCAAAACAUUGAACUCACAUUCAGAAAAUCGCUAAUUUUUCUCUCAUUCUGAAUUGAACACGUAGUUAACCUGAUUGAUUCGAUUUGUAAAAUUGUUGAACAUUCUAAUAAAAGGAAUUAGCUAGGUUAAUUCAUUUGCUAUUGCGAAAUUCAAAGCACCAAAAGAACUAAUUUUUAAAUAAAAUGCCUCACACUUGUGCAGCCUUCAAUUGCACAGUGAGAUUAGAAAAAAGCCAAAAUUUGAAAUUUCAUUCGUAAGUAUUUAUAUCUUUCAAAUCUUCUGACAUUCAUACGUAAAGGAAAUAUUUAUUAACAGUUUUCCAAAGGAUGACAAAUUAAGGGAACAGUGGAUGUUAGCUGAGGAAGCAUUGAUUUCAACCCUUCUUUCUUGUCGAAAAUAUGCAGCAACCAUUUUCAUCAACAUGAUUACACGGUCGCAGUUCCAGGAAGGCUUUCCGAGCCACAACUACCCCGGAUCAAUAAUAUUGUCCUUGGUAAUAUAUUAUUACCUUUGAUAUGGAUGGAAUGAAAAUGAAAAAAUUGUUUAGAUGAAUUUAUUUUAUUUUUAUAAUCACUAUGGAGAAUUCUCCAAUAUGUACAAAAAAUAUACAAAUAUUGGAAGAGGGCUUAGAGAAUAUUUACCUCAUUCAAUAAUAUUUUCAAGGUAUCUAUCUUACAGACGUCAAUUUUCGAAAAAGCUUUGUUGAAAUUUUGAGUUAUUCAUUUUGAUUAGGUGAAAAUAAUUGCCUUUAUUAAUUUCGAUGAAUAUUAUAAUUCACAUUUUAGUCAUAUAUAUUGAGAGAAUUUCUCACGAAAUUCUGAAAAGGCAUUUCGAAACAAUUUAGUUAGUGAGGAAUUUCCUAUUUCAAAUUGUCUCGAUAUACUGUUUCAAGUAGUUAGAUGAAAAAAAGAAAUCUAAAAUCAGUUUUACAUGUUUUUCCGAAAUGGAACUGUGAUUAGACAAAGCGGUUUAUGUAUAAAAGGACCAAUACACUCUAGUUACAACAGCUGAAAGUUAUUUGUCGUCCCCAAUUAGAUGAACGUAGGUAACAAUCGUGUUGAACGCCAAAGAA